GAAAUAGCAAAAAGACAAAAAAAAAAAAAAAAGUUGGUUGAAUGAAUGGAGGAUUGAAUGAAUGGCAAACUUUGUGCCCCAUUGAAUUGUAUUUUUUUUAACUUUUUUUUUUUUUUUUGGCUGUGCCUGUGGCACAUGGAAAGUCCCAGGCUAGGGAUUGAACCCGGGCCACAGCAGCAACCUGAGCCACAGCAGUGACCAUGCCAGAUCCUUAACCCACUGAGCCACCAGGGAACUCUUGAAGUGUAUAUUUUAAAGCUACAAAUCCUUCCAUUUGGAAACAUCUCAGAGCUCCCUGAUAUGGUAAAGACAUUUGGGAGGCCACUCACCAACGCUGGGGCGGUGGGGGCAGGGGGGGUGGGGAGCCACUUGCAGACCAACUCCAAGGUCAGGAGGAGAAAGGACCGAGCAGCCAAGACCUAUUUAAUGCAAUGGUGAGAAGCCCAGCCUGGGCUCUCACCACUGCACUGGCUGGCUCCAGUGCUCCCACAAAUCAUCCGAAAGGCUAAAUCAUGUUUAAAUCCCUCUGAUUGUGACCACGGGGAACUAUGAAGGACACUCACGCAUAAUUUACAUACUGCCAAGCUCCUAAGAGCCUCUAAAAAAAGUCCCUGAGGGCCUCCGAGCACUAUUUUUGAGGAGAAGGACAUCAAGUGACAGAUUCAAUCGAGUCUGCUCCCUCCGCACUUGGGAAAAAAAGAAACCUCACCCUCUGCUCCCUGACACCUGCGACUGCCUUAGACUCCACGUGCUGGCGGAUGCUUCACAAGGAAGCCGAGAUUACAUGGAAAACGUUGCACAUGUGCUAUUGCCUGUCCCGUUUUGCACACGACUCCACUGCUAACAGCUAUUUUUUUUUUUUUUUUUUGGUCCAGACUCUCUCGCUCUUUUUCCAGAUUCUAACCAUAAAAUGUGUUUUAAUCUCAAAGCACGGGCAGGCGGGGAAGGGGGGGGCUCUCAAGAGCACUUUGUGUUCUGCCAGUAAAUGUUACAUGACAUUUGCUCACAACAUGGUUAUCUGGCUAUAACACGAAGACUAAGUUGGUCCAUGCAGCAGCCAUUAGAGACUCUGUACCCAGAAAAGACACACACCUGGGGGGGAGCAGGACAGGCUGAGAGGAGGGCUUUCCAUCGCAACUGUUUGAUUUGGCUAUAGGAUGCUCUACUGCAAUGACCAUGGCUAGUGUUUAUCAUCUGACAAAAAUGGAAAGCAAAAGAGUAGAUGCAAGUGUUCUAAGUAAACAGAGAAAGAGAUUUAUACCUUUCAGGGGGGCCAGAGAAACACAGCACCCGUUUUAUUGUUUUGUUUUGUUUUCUACAGAGGAAUCCAUGCAAUCAAAAAGACAAAUAUGUGAGCCACAUAAAACCACCAGGUGCAUACAGCCUGGUGCCCAAGCAAUGGGCCACUUCCAUAUCCACCAUGGAAGUUUCUAGAAGUGUGAAGAUUCUCUGUCCCUGGCCCAAAGGACCCACUUGCCCAACAGGACUUGGGCUCAUGCAUCACCUGCUCUAGUUGCAAAUUUCUUUAGUAGUUGAGACUUCCUGUUAGAAAUUCCCUGAGCUCACACACAGUUUUACCCUAUUCUGUUCCCCCUCAGCCCCAACACUGAGCCAGGCAAUAAAAACAUGCUCCCAGGAAAUAAUCUGCUUGAUUCAUUGUCUGUAAGCAAGGAAAGGAAGGAUAGUGUUUGUUUCCCAGUUGUAGCCCCAAGCCUCCCAUGUGAUUCAGGAGAGUGAAUGAAUAAAUAGAUACAUGAAUAGAUGCAUGAAUGAAUAGAGAGUGAUAUUUUAGCUAUAGUAUCAUUUGAUCCCCACAACAAGCCUGUGAGGUAAUAACAAUACCAGUUAACACUUAGGUUGUGCUAAUUAUAUACCAGCCUCUAGUCUCAAUUCUUCAUACAUAUUAACUCUUUUAACCCUCAAGAGCUCUAUGAAAUAAGGACUAUUAUUAUCUCCAUUUAACAGAUGAGAAACUGUUGGAAGCUGAUGAGGUUGCACCGCUAGGAAGGGGCAAAGCAGAGUCUUACAGGGCACUCUUAAAACCCUAUGCUUCCUCUCCAUUAGCUCUCCUUUAUGGAGCAGGAAACAGAGGGUAGCGAGAUGAAUGUGAUUGAAGCUACUCACCACAUGGGUACAUACCUAGGACUGCGUUCCCAGGAUACUGUCAAACGAUAGAGCCCCGAAGAGAACCCUAAUAGCCUGACUCCAAUGCCGGAGUAGGACUUGGGAAUAAAGCCAGUCGGUGGCAGAUAUCUGAGAUCCGGAGAGGACAGGUUGUCAAGGGGGCGGGAGUGUGGAGGGACGCUGAGCUAGGAGGCUGAUUUUCUUAGCACUUUUCUCCCAAACCAGAGGGGCAAAAGGGUUCAGGAGGGAACAAGAAAAGAAAAACAAACCUGGAAAGUAUUUUCACCCUGAUUCUCCUGAAAUCUGUUUGUUUGGGUUGGAGAAGGAGAGAUUUGCCUGCAUCUUCCCCAUUUCAGGCUCCGGGAGAAGGCCACAGCAAACCCUCAGCCAAGUUCUAAGCAGAAGUUACAUCCAUUACAACCUGAGUGAGAUUCUGAGCAAGGCUUCCCAGGAUUGGGUUUUGUUAUAAUAUAUGUCAAAGAAUCAAAGACUCUGAAGGCGGGGGGACGUGGACGAAAGAAUGGAGGCCAGGACAGAAUGAGAGUUAUAACUGAGAAGAGGAAGAAAAAGUUGGAGCUAGUUCCUGGUAUGAAUGGGUAGGGGUUGAUGGUUCAGGAUUGUAACCUAAGAGAUAAUUAAUUGCCUCGGUUUUGAGAAGCAAGGAGACAUGGCAUUGGAACUGGGAAAUGUCAGCCCCUUAAAUGUAAAGCUCCACUUACAACUGGAGCUGGAGAGAUGAGGAAGAACAGUGGGAGAAAGAAAUAGCAGUACGACAAUUUAGAAAAUUCCCUGGACCUGGAAAAGGUGAAAGAAGGCGAAGAAGAGAGGGGUGGGCCAUCUCUCCCGCCCUGCCCCCCACCUUUUUUUUCUCAUUAUGCAUAUGGAGGUAUAAAGGAUGCAGGUUUGGACCACACAGGAUGGAUGGAUUGACAUUUACCAUGGGGACAGGGUCAAGCUGCAACUCUGACUCACUGCAGCCCCAAGAAGAAACACCUCUCUCCCUCAGAGACAGCACUUUCUCAGUACAGAGAAAUAUGCCCUAAGAAAGUCGUAGCUCAGCUGAGACUUGUGGGAUUUGUAAAUUACCCAUCAUGUGAGUGACAGUCUGGCCUUGCUCAUGGGCUGCCAGGCAAACAAGGGCCAGGAUCCCAGGAUGGUUCUGAACCCCAUGUGGCCCUUGGACUGAGUAAACAGGAACCAAAAGGUAUUCGCCUCAAUGCUGACCAAAAAGAAGCCCACCCCAGGCAAGGUCUCACUAUACACAGCUUUUUAUAAAACCAAGAUGCACCUCUCUGGGAAUUAUUGAACUGUUCUACUGUUCUUUAAAAAAAGGAUCUUUUUGAUGGAGAAAGAAGCAGAGAGAGUGUGUGUGUGUGUGUGUGUGUGUAAGUUUGUUGCAAGGGAUUUGCUAAAUUAGUUCAUCUAGGAGCCCCUGGAGGGGGGGGGUCAUUUGAGCAGAUCCCUUUAAUUAAUGAAAAUGAGUUUCCUGGCAGUCCCCCCCAGUCACACCCCCAAAUGCACACAGAGUCCAGGGCUCUGCAGAGCUCACGCUUAUUCCCAACAGAUACCAUAGAAGAACCGAUUACUAUUCACUGGAUCCAAAAGUCCUACUUCUUGAGCUGGAAGAUGGGAAUCUGUGAGCCCUGCUGGGGCUUUCUGGACAUCCUACUAAUAGGUUCCAGGAAUUAGCUACACUCUAUUGCAUGGUGAUGAUUUUUUGUUUUUCACGCUCAGAAAACCGCAGAGGGAUUUUAACCAAAAGGAAGCAAAGGUUUUCUUUUUAUAAAUUCGAUUAGUCUUUUUCACUUUCUCUACCUCAAGACAUUUCCUUUGGGAGGAAUUUUAUACCCAGAGACCCCUUAGCGAGGCACUGUUGCAUGCGAGGCGCUGUGAAUUUAAGUGCAAGACGCUCAAUGCAGAGGGAAAGUAAAAAAAAAAAAAAAAAAAAUCACAGGCACUUGCGAUCGCCGGCGAAGUCGGUUUCUAAAUGCCCGUGUGGGGACGGCCCUGCAGAGAAGAAAGACCAAGUUUGCCAGCAGUGUGGGACCCGUGGCUGGGAUGCGAGCGGCUGGUUACCGAGCCCGCCCUCCGCUCGCCACGGCUGAAUUUCCCGCCGGAGCCGGCGCCUGGGCGCCUGGUCCCCGCGCUGCACCCGGCGCCGGUCUGGAGAUAGCCCUUGGCUGCGGGCGGCGGGUUCCCCCCGAAAGUGCGCCUUUUCGCCGCCACCGGGACUUGGCUGCAGGGGAGCCAGUGCGCAAAGCGCUCACAGCACAGGCUCCGCAGGGGCCAGGGUUACCCACCUGAGCCUGCUCCCCCAGGCCUCGGGUUCGAAGCCUCUGCAGUGGCCGAGGAGCGGUUAGGAUUUGAGCGACAGCGGUUCGGUUAAGGAAGGAGUUUCUGAAACUCUCGGGGAAGCGGAGUACCGGGGCUGGGAAAAUAAGCCAGCCUACGGUGGGCUUUCCAAACUUGGUCUUUGCUUUUUAAUCAUUUUUCCUGUCCCCUCCCCCUCCUCCCACGACUCUGGUCGCGACCCUGGGAAAGAGCUUAAGGGCUAGGGUAAUAGCCAAGUCAAUCUUUCCUCCCUCCCCCCGCCCCCACCUCAACUUUCAGACGAGAAGAAUAUAAAUAAACCUCAGAAGUGGUUAAUGCGGGUGCAUUCGGCCUCCCGCAUCCCAACACAUGCCACCGCCACCGCCACCGCCACCACCACCCACUCCGUCCCUCCCACCUCCGGAUAGGGGAGGGACUGGGAACCUGAUCGCCGGGCUCCUGCCCCUAAUAUUUCCCCAUCAAUAAUGCUGAUACCAUCGGCGGCGUGCCUCCACCCCCGCCCCUGCCCGCGGGACGCCGCUGCCGCCUUUUUACCGCUUUCUGCCUGGCACAAGAAAACGAAACCUCCUCCCCUGCCCUCUCGGCCUCCAGAUGCGGGGCUAGCAGGGCCUGGGGCUGGGGGGGCUGAGGAAUCAGGGGUUCGGGCAGGGCCCUUGGGGGCGACCUUAAGUUCGAGGGUAGAGCACCGGAGGAAAGAGAAGGAGGGUCCCGGGCCCAGGCCAGGCCUCAUUCCAGGCUCCAUCCCAAAUCCGGGUCAGACUGGGUCAGGAUAAGAUGUUGUUGAGGGUUCAAGAACCAGGCCUUGAGAAAAGGAAGCUCAACACGCUAUCCCCUUCCGAGGAUGAGGAGAUGAAGCGGAGAGGCUGGGAAACCCCUUCACUGGGAACUCAGUUGUGGCCCGCGGCCUUGGGUCACAGCCCUUCAGUCCGGCCAAACCCACCGUGGACGCACCUCACCGGAGCGCGCUGACAGUGCGGCGCCCGCGUCUGCGAACCACGGAACUCCGGCCGGAGACAAUGGCCCGUAAUUGAUGUAUUGCCAUCAACAAUAAAGACCAAUUCUCCUCUCUCCGCCAUUCCGACCAUCCCCCUCCUCCCAUCCCCCCUCCUCCACCUCCUCUCUCUUCUCUUCGGGCCACAGAAGGAAAGAAAACAAACAAGAAAUUAGCCGGGGACGCUGCGCACGGAGCCAGACGCGCCCCUCUAUGCUUUCGAGGACGCGAAAAAACGAAAAAAGUUAUUAAAGUUUGGAUCUCCCAAUUAAUUCGUCUCUGCUCGCCCAUUUUUAAUGAAACAUCGCGAAGCUGAUUUUGCGUGCGCAUUUCGUUUGGUUGUUUGUUUCGGUGUUUUGGUGGGGGGCGAAAGCUCCCCCCCCCGUCCUUAAUCACACACACAGCAACACAGCAA